AAGUAAUUAGCUCAAUUGGUAGAGCGUCUCGCUUACAACGAGGAUGUUGGUGGUUCGAGUCCAUUAUUACUUA